ACGCUGUCUGUUUCCAGAUAGAAAUUGUGAUUUCAGCAUUUGGAUAAUUUCCACAAAAUAGGCCGUUUUAAAACAUAGGCAGGGUACAGUGUCAUGAACAAACAACGAGUCGCGGAAUUUUCUAAAUGUAGUCCUACUAAUAUGGCGAAAUACACCACUACCGAAACUGGUAGACCUACAGUACUGUAUGUUUGAUCUAGGCUAUGAGCAUUUACAAACCAACAAUCCUACAAAAAAUAACUGCACUAUAAUCUACUGCAAGUGUCAAAACAGCAGUUUGGAGAAAUUAUUUGCAGUAUGCAGGAAAUGCAAUAUUUUGGACAUUAAAAUAUUAUUGUAGGCUACUGCAGUAUAUUUUGAAUAGUAAAACUGCAGUUAUUUUUUGUAAGGGGUAGCCUAGGCCUACUUUUCCAUACAAAGUAGCCUACAUGGACAAGGAGUGGGGGCAUGAAAUAUAGCCUAGUCCAAAAGUAAGCUCGCUCUAACGCCUAAGUUGCAUCAAAAUUGAGACAUUUUGUCAAUCUGUGAUAUCAAGUCAUCAUUUGCUUUUGCAUCCAGAAUAAAUGUUAAGGUGACGAAAAUACCAUGCCAUAGAGCAGCGAGCAGCAGAGUUGUCCUACUCGUUAUUGGCCAAUCCUGGCCUCCCACAAUGCAUCUGUUUCUGAUAUCUGUUUCAGACCACGGAUCUCUUCUUUAAAAUUCACAAUGUCAGCGAACACAUUGUGCGUAAUGUUGAGAAUUAUACAUGGUAGCUUGUGUGUGUACUAAGACCUUAGUAUUAUAUAGAUAUAGAACCACCCUUAUGCUGACGCUUAUGUAUUGUUAUAAAGAUUUCCUCAGCUCAAGCAAUCGUCCGAUCCUUCUAGGUCAUACACGUGAUGAUUGGUCGAUCCACGAUGUUUUCGUGAAAUGUGCAGCCUUCUUGUUACGCUUGGCACACGACCCUUCUGAUUUAAAAUGUCAAAGGUAAAUGACUUGUGAGGUAUGUUUUGCUUCCGUUUCUACUAAACGUUUAAUAGCACUCCACCAUCAGUGGGCAAUCCUUUCCCUGUUUUUGUCUGUCACUGAUAUUACGCGAAUGAAGAUAGCCUAUCAAUACAUCGGACAGAAAAUAAUGUGGCAUGAAUAAAUAACCAACAUGUUCCGCUUUCGUUUUCAGGCAUCCACCUUAGCCGCAUCUUUCUUAGUGCACGGUCGGAUCUUCUUGUCGGCUUAAUUUAAAAACGUAAAAAAUGUAGCCACCAGGUUCAGAGAAAGCGGAGAUAAAAAGUCACCUGGCAUUUUGCCUUUCACUUUGCUUUUCACUGACUUUUGCUUUCUGCCCGCAACAUAAUGCUCGUGUUUGUGGUGGGUGCCUGCUGACCUCCCAACUUCCUAAAUAGCCCUCAGCAUGACAGACCACCGUUGCCUGAAUAUGAAGACUAAAGAUAUGCAUCUUUAUUCUUUCAUUCUUUAAGUCUGUCACACCCCCCUCUUAAGUGCACAAGGAGAGCCCUCUCUAUAGUUACAAUACAGUAAAGGAGUGGAUGGGAGGGGGAGUCCUCUCUACAAUACAGUAAAGGAGUGGAUGGGAGGGGGAGUCCUCUCUACAAUACAGUAAAGGAGUGGAUGGGAGGGGGAGUCUGCUACUCUAUCCUUGCUUUCCUGUGAUCAUGUGUAUGCUUUCAUAUUUGCAUGAGGAAGUGGAAGUAGCAUCAUUCAUCUGGGUUUGUAUUAGGCCUUGAAAGGUGCAAUUGAGAAACAGAUAGAGGGAGUAGCAUUGAAAAGACGAACAUGUCAAGGUCUGGAUUAAGGGGGUUUAGCACAUAUUUGUCAACCAGAGAAAAUGGCCUCCUCGUCAGCUUAAUUGGAGCAGACUGCCGUGUACUGGCAUCUGCAGUAGUCCAGCUUGUAUUGGUCAGCCCUGCUCAUAAAGGUCAAAGGUUAGCAUGGAAGGUCCAUGCCUGCGGGGUUGCAUGUUUAGAGCAGGAUCGAAAUGUGCACUCUGCAUUCAUACGCCUUUACUGUGUCAAGAAAGCUAAAUUGCUAUGGGAACAGGAGGUCUACACCCCUUUUAAGUACUCAGCACCACAUCCGUAUUUCCACAGUUUCCCGGGAGACCUCGGCCUCAGGUGCAGAUAAGGACCCAGAGUCUGGACUCCACAUCUGGACGACUUCUGUGGGAGAACAGGAACAAAAGUCAGCUGAAUUCACCAACAGACCACAUGCCAGCACCUGCUUCACCACAGAGGAGAAUCGUGUUCACUCUCCCUCCAGAUGUCACAACAAGAACACGUUCUGUGGAACAUGUUCUGUCUAAACCCUCCACACACCCUCCACACACCCUUUCCAAACCCAGGAGAGAGUCUUUGCCCUUGGCAAUAAGGAAAGGCCCGCUACCCUCUGUGCCAGUCCAUGCCAAAGAAGCCUCUGUGGGCAUUAGGAACAAAAGAAGUGAAAAUGCUCAGAGCUCAGCCCCGGGGAGCUCUCUGCCCUUGCCACAAUGGGUGCCACCCCCACCCUCUCACCAGGCACCUAGGGCCCCAUGUUAUAGCCUGCUGCUCAGCAAGGACACCGGUCACAGGGCCCUCACUGGAAGGGAUGCUUUCUCCAUGGUGAAGCGUUUUGACAAGGAAUGAUCUGCAGUAAGUAAGGAGCUGAAACUCAAGUGAGUGAAGUGAGUGAGGAUCACUCACCCUCUCAGUCACAUAAAAGUAGAUACACGUUGACCUUAUACUGUUAUGUAACAAUUAAAUCAGCAGUAAGGCUGUGCAUCUAUGCUGAGGAUAAGAAAGAGGAUUGACCUGAUACAUUCUUUUUUUAUAUUGUACACAAAUAAAAUUACAUAUUUGUUCA